rnacentral:rRNA from 1 species
CCGACCUGAGAGGGUGAUCGGCCACAUUGGGACUGAGACACGGCCCAAACUCCUACGGGAGGCAGCAGUAGGGAAUCUUCGGCAAUGGACGAAAGUCUGACCGAGCAACGCCGCGUGAGUGAAGAAGGUUUUCGGAUCGUAAAACUCUGUUGUUAGAGAAGAACAAGGAUGAGAGUAACUGUUCAUCCCUUGACGGUAUCUAACCAGAAAGCCACGGCUAACUACGUGCCAGCAGCCGCGGUAAUACGUAGGUGGCAAGCGUUGUCCGGAUUUAUUGGGCGUAAAGCGAGCGCAGGCGGUUUCUUAAGUCUGAUGUGAAAGCCCCCGGCUCAACCGGGGAGGGUCAUUGGAAACUGGGAGACUUGAGUGCAGAAGAGGAGAGUGGAAUUCCAUGUGUAGCGGUGAAAUGCGUAGAUAUAUGGAGGAACACCAGUGGCGAAGGCGGCUCUCUGGUCU